GGGUGCGAUCAUACCAGCACUAAUGCACCGGAUCCCAUCAGAACUCCGCAGUUAAGCGUGCUUGGGCGAGAGUAGUACUAGGAUGGGUGACCUCCUGGGAAGUCCUCGUGUUGCACCCCU
rnacentral:rRNA from 15 species